AUGUAAUUUUGCAGCAGCCGCGGUAAUACGUAGGGUGCAAGCGUUAAUCGGAAUUACUGGGCGUAAAGCGUGCGCAGGCGGUUUUGUAAGAUAGAUGUGAAAUCCCCGGGCUCAACCUGGGAAUUGCAUAUAUGACUGCAAGACUUGAGUUUGUCAGAGGAGGGUGGAAUUCCAAGUGUAGCAGUGAAAUGCGUAGAUAUUUGGAAGAACACCGAUGGCGAAGGCAGCCCUCUGGGACAUGACUGACGCUCAUGCACGAAAGCGUGGGGAGCAAACAGG
rnacentral:rRNA from 1 species